AUUGAACGCUGGCGGCAGGCUUAACACAUGCAAGUCGAGCGAGCGGCGGACGGGUGAGUAAUGUCUGGGAAACUGCCUGAUGGAGGGGGAUAACUACUGGAAACGGUAGCUAAUACCGCAUACCAUCAGAUGUGCCCAGAUGGGAUUAGCUAGUAGGUGGGGUAAUGGCUCACCUAGGCGACGAUCCCUAGCUGGUCUGAGAGGAUGACCAGACACACUGGAACUGACACACGGUCCAGACUCCUACGGGAGGAAGCAGUGGGGAGUAGUGCAACAUGGGCGCAAGCCAGAUAAAGCCAUGCCGUGUGUGUGAAGAAGGCCUUCGGGUUGUAAAGCACUUUCAGCGAGGAGGCGGAACUCGCAGAAGAAGCACCGGCUAACUCCGUGCCAGCAGCCGCGGUAAUUC
rnacentral:rRNA from 1 species